rnacentral:rRNA from 1 species
AACGCUAGCUACAGGCUUAACACAUGCAAGUCGCGGGGCAGCAUGAAUUUAGCUUGCUAAAUUUGAUGGCGACCGGCGCACGGGUGAGUAACGCGUAUCCAACCUUCCCUUAUCCACGGGAUAGCCCGUCGAAAGGCGGAUUAAUACCGUAUGAGGUCAUUUGAUGGCAUCUGAUUAUGACGAAAGGUUUAGCGGAUAAGGAUGGGGAUGCGUCCGAUUAGCUUGUUGGCGGGGUAACGGCCCACCAAGGCGACGAUCGGUAGGGGUUCUGAGAGGAAGGUCCCCCACAUUGGAACUGAGACACGGUCCAAACUCCUACGGGAGGCAGCAGUGAGGAAUAUUGGUCAAUGGGCGAGAGCCUGAACCAGCCAAGUAGCGUGCAGGACGACGGCCCUAUGGGUUGUAAACUGCUUUUAUGCGGGGAUAAAGUGGGGGAUGCAUCCCUUUUUGCAGGUACCGCAUGAAUAAGGACCGGCUAAUUCCGUGCCAGCAGCCGCGGUAAUACGGAAGGUCCGGGCGUUAUCCGGAUUUAUUGGGUUUAAAGGGAGCGUAGGCUGGAGAUUAAGCGUGUUGUGAAAUGCCGCGGCUCAACCGUGGCACUGC